UUGUCCAUACAAAGAAGUAUGCAUUCAAGCAAAGAAUACAAAAAUAGGUAUAUUUAAUGAUAUAGCCAACAUCUAUCAUUUUAGAAUUAAUGUCCUUCUUCAUGCUCUGAACGAUAAAGAAUAGAAAAAUUAUAGAGAUAUCCUUCAGAUUUGGUCCAUUUAUACUUAGAUCUCAAAAGUUUAAAAGUAUCAAUUAGUCAUAAAAAAAACAUCAAAUUUAUUGCAAUGCAUCCC
rnacentral:lncRNA from 1 species